AAACGCUGGCGGCGUGCCUAACACAUGCAAGUCGAGCGCGAAAGGGACCUUCGGGUACCCCUGAAAGCGGCGAACGGGUGAGUAACACGUGGGCAACCUGCCUCAAGGAUUGGGAUAACGUCGGGAAACCGGCGCUAAUACCGAACGAUGUAGCCUCGCGCAAGCGAGCCUACCAAAGGUAGCUUCGGCCUCCGCCUUGAGAUGGGCCCGCGUCCUAUCAGCUUGUUGGUGAGGUAAUGGCUCACCAAGGCUACACGGGUAGCUGGUCUGAGAGGAUGAUCAGCCACACUGGGACUGAGAUACGGCCCAGACUCCUACGGGAGGCAGCAGUGGGGAAUCUUGCGCAAUGGGCGAAAGCCUGACGCAGCAACGCCGCGUUGAGCGAAGAAGGCCUUCGGGUUGUAAAGCUCUGUCAGGAGGAAAGAAGGCACCUGGGUUAAUAGCCCAAGGGCUGACGGUACCUCCAAAGGAAGCCACGGCUAACUACGUGCCAGCCGCUGC
rnacentral:rRNA from 1 species